UGGGGAAUAUUGGACAAUGGGGGGAACCCUGAUCCAGCCAUGCCGCGUGUGUGAAGAAGGCCUUAUGGUUGUAUAGCACUUUAAGCGAGGAGGAGGGUACUGGUAUUAAUACUACCAGCUACUGGACGUUACUCGCAGAAUAAGCACCGGCUAACUCUGUGCCAGCAGCCGCGGUAAUACAGAGGGUGCGAGCGUUAAUCGGAUUUACUGGGCGUAAAGCGUGCGUAGGCGGCUAAUUGAGUCGGAUGUGAAAUCCCCGAGCUUAACUUGGGAAUUGCAUUCGAUACUGGUUAGCUAGAGUGUGGGAGAGGAUGGUAGAAUUCCAGGUGUAGCGGUGAAAUGCGUAGAGAUCUGGAGGAAUACCGAUGGCGAAGGCAGCCAUCUGGCCUAACACUGACGCUGAGGUACGAAAGCAUGGGGAGCAAACAGG
rnacentral:rRNA from 1 species